UAGAAUUCCAGGUGUAGCGGUGAAAUGGGUAGAGUUCUGGAGGAAUACCGGUGGGGAAGGCGGCCCCCUGGCCAAAGACUGACGUUCAGGUGGGAAAGCGUGGGGAGCAACCAGGAUUAGAUACCCUGGUAGUCCACGCGGUAAACGAUGUGGAUUUGGAGGUUGUGCCCUUGAGGAGUGGCUUCCGGAGUUAACGCGUUAAUUCG
rnacentral:rRNA from 1 species